UAGCGGCGAGCGAACAGGGAGAAGCCCAGCACGGAACGGCGCGCGGAGACGCGCAGCUGAAUGUCGUGUGCGGGAGGUUCCGCUAUCCCGGCGUUAGCGCUCCGCGAGUCCAAGUCUCCCUUGAAUGGGGCCACCGCCCGUAGAGGGUGCCAGGCCCGUAGAGACCGCGGUCGCCGCCGGGGGGAGCCCUCCUCAGAGUCGCGUUCCUUGAGAGUGGAGCGCUAAGUAGGUGGUAAACUCCAUCUAAGGCUAAAUACGACCACGAGGCCGAUAGCGAACAAGUACCGUGAGGGAAAGUUGAAAAGAACUUUGAAGAGAGAGUUCAACAGUACGUGAAACCGUUCAGGGGUAAACGGGAGAGACCCGAAAGGUCGAAGGGGGGACUCAAUCCCGUCCGUACCGUCGGGCCCCGGUCCGCGUACCUUUCCGGAUGAUGCCGGCCGUGCGGCCACCCCGACAGGGGCGGACCGUGCGUGAGUCGGGGUCACCGGCCGGUCGGGACGCCAGCGGCGGCGGGGUGCAAUUCUCCCCCGGUAGGACGUCGCGACCCGUUGGAAGGGGGGUCUAUGGCCCGGAAUCGUAGCCCGUGGGGAUCGCCGGGGAACCCCGGAUCAAACGAUCCCCCGGACGCCGAAGCCCGGCCCCCGUCCGACGGUAUGCUAAUCGAGGAGAUAGGCCGGCCAUCUAAUGGCGUCCGGCCCGCAACGGCAAGUGCCGCCGGUUUGUCCGGUGCCGCGGCGUGAGUCGCGUCCCGGCCGCCGGCGGGCUGUUGGUCUGCGGUGUCCUCGGACCCGUCGCUCCGGCGACUACGGCCGUUCUCCCGUCCGCGGCGAUAUAGCUUCGGGCGCUCUCCCGACCCGUCUUGAAACACGGACCAAGGAGUCUAACAUGUGCGCAAGUCAAAGGGAAUAGACUAAACCCAAAGGCGCAAUGAAAGUGGGGUGGAUCCCCCCUCCUCGGAGGGGGGCCGCCGAUGGGGAGGAUGGCCCAGCUCCCGCCAAGCGGGAGUUAAAACGGGCCCGCACUCCCGGGGCGCCCCGGCCUCGGCCGCGGGCGCACUCGGAGCGUACAUGUUGGGACCCGAAAGAUGGUGAACUAUGCCUGGCCAGGACGAAGUCAGGGGAAACCCUGAUGGAGGUCCGCAGCGAUUCUGACGUGCAAAUCGAUCGUCAGAGCUGGGUAUAGGGGCGAAAGACUAAUCGAACCAUCUAGUAGCUGGUUCCCUCCGAAGUUUCCCUCAGGAUAGCUGGCGCCCGCUUGGAAGGAUGCUCGAGUCUCAUCCGGUAAAGCGAAUGAUUAGAGGCCUUGGGGCCGAAACGACCUCAACCUAUUCUCAAACUUUAAAUGGGUGAGAGCUGCGGCUUGCUUGAACGAAGCCGGUUUGGACGAGAGGAUCAGGGUGCCAAGUGGGCCAUUUUUGGUAAGCAGAACUGGCGCUGUGGGAUGAACCAAACGCCGGGUUAAGGCGCCCAAAUCGGAGCUCAUGGGAGACCAUGAAAGGCGUUGGUUGCUUAAGACAGCAGGACGGUGGCCAUGGAAGUCGGAAUCCGCUAAGGAGUGUGUAACAACUCACCUGCCGAAGCAACUAGCCCUGAAAAUGGAUGGCGCUGAAGCUCCGUGCCUAUACCCGGCCGCCGGAAGGCAUAGGCGCAGACCGAGGGUCUCCCACUUCGGUAGGAGAUUCGAGGCUGUAGCGUGAGGCCCCGGUGAGUAGGAGGGCGCGGCGGUGUGCGUGGAAGGGUCUGGGCGUGAGCCUGCCUGGAGCCGCCGUCGGUGCAGAUCUUGGUGGUAGUAGCAAAUACUCAAGCGAGGGCCUUGAGGACUGAUGUGGAGAAGGGUUUCGUGUGAACAGCCGUUGCACACGAGUCAGUCGAUCCUAAGCCCUAGGGGAAACCCGAUGUCGAUGCGGGGGGAACAAAAGAGAGACCCCUCCCGCGACGGGCGAAAGGGAAUCCGGUUCCUAUUCCGGAACCCGGCAGCGGAACCGACUCGGGCCCUAGCUCGUCGGGGUAACCCAAAGGACCCGGGCGCCGCGGGAGACCCGGGCAGAGUUUUCUGUUCUGCAUAAGCGUUCGAGUUCCCUGGAAUCCUCCAGCAGGGAGAUAGGGUUUGGAACGCGAAGAGCACCGCAGUUGCGGCGGUGUCCGGGUCGCCCCCUCGGACCAUGAAAACCCGGGAGAGGGCCACGCGGAGGCGUCGCGCCGGAUCGUACCCAUAUCCGCAGCAGGUCUCCAAGGUUAAGAGCCU
rnacentral:rRNA from 1 species